AGGACGAACGCUGGCGGCGUGCCUAAGAAAUGCAAGUCGAGCGGGGAGCAAUCCCAGCGGCGAACGGUCGCGUAACACGUAAGCAACCUGCCCCAAAGACCGGGACAACAUUCCGAAAGGAGUGCUAAUACCGGAUGUGCCCGUCUGUUGACAUCGGCGGACGAGUAAAUCAAGCAAUUGGCUUUGGGAGGGGCUUGCGGCCUAUCAGCUAGAUGGUGGGGUAACGGCCUACCAUGGCGACGACGGGUAGCUGGUCUGAGAGGAUGGUCAGCCGGAUUGGGACUGAGAUACGGCCCAGACUCCUACGGGGGCAGCAAUUAGGAAUCUUGCACAAUGGGCGAAAGCCUGAUGCAGCGACGUCGCGUGGGGAGGAAGGCUUUCGGGUUGUAAACCCCUUUUAUCGAGGAAGAAACAAAUGACGGUACUCGAUGAAUAAGCCCGGCUAACUACGUGCCAGCAGCCGC
rnacentral:rRNA from 1 species